rnacentral:rRNA from 1 species
CCUACGGGUGGCAGCAGUGAGGAAUAUUGGUCAAUGGACGGAAGUCUGAACCAGUCAUGCCGCGUGCAGGAAGACGGCUCUAUGAGUUGUAAACUGCUUUUGUACAAGGGUAAACCUGAAUACGUGUAUUCAGCUGACAGUACUGUACGAAUAAGGAUCGGCUAACUCCGUGCCAGCAGCCGCGGUAAUACGGAGGAUCCAAGCGUUAUCCGGAUUUAUUGGGUGUAAAGGGUGCGUAGGCGGAUUGAGAAGUUAGAGGUGAAAUGUCCGGGCUUAACUCGGUGACCGCCUCUAAUACUGUUGUUCUAGAGAGUAGGUGAGGUAGGCGGAAUGUAUGGUGUAGCGGUGAAAUGCGUAGAGAUCAUACAGAACACCGAUUGCGAAGGCAGCUUACCAAUCUAUAUCUGACGUUGAGGCUCGAAAGCGUGGGGAGCAAACAGGAUUAGAUACCCGGGUAGUC